CACAGAGGGACCGGAAGCCGGGAAGUUCUGAGGUCGCCGGAUGCAUCUGUGUGGGAGGCCGCGUCCUGCUGACCUCUCCCUGCUUUUCUCUGUGCUUCCAACCUGGCUCCAUCUCUCUUGUCAAGUUUCCGCAUCCUAGAGAUGGAUGCAAUGAUAACGGGCCAACUGACCGGGUGACUCUAAGUUCUAGGGUCUGCAAGUCUGCAAGUGAAGACCAUCAUUGCUGUGGCUGCCACCCUUACAGGGUACGUGACCAUGGAGUACAGCAGCCACAUUGUAUUCAUAAGGAUGAAGAUCACAUGACAGAGAGUUGGAAGGAGCUUGGGUCACUAAUGCUAUUGCUCUUCCCUAAUCCCAGAAGCAGUGCCUGCUUCCAGACUUGUGACAGCAAGAUACAAAAUUUGGAUUUCCCAUCAUCAUGAUCCCAAGGGAGAACCUCUACAGCUCUUCUCCACUCAUCAAGGUUUUGGUGACCAGAACUCUGACUUUAUUUGGUCAAAUGAGAACUUGGCAUCAUGGCUGCUGGCAGGGAAAAUCCCUGGAGAAAAAGUUUAAGGGGAGUGUGUAUCUGGCAUGAGAGAAGAAUUCUUUGCCCAUUCUAGCAGAGAGCCCCAAAGAGUCCCAUCAAACCAGGUAAAAACCCCGCCCCCAGCCAAACUUGUUGAAGAAGAUGUUCAGCCAUCCUGGCACUCAGAGACCACUGCAGCCAUGGUCUAAGGGGGCCAGGCCACUGUUAGAGCUGGUAGCAGGCCUUGGCAUUAUCCAUGUGGUGCUUCUAGAGGUUAAAUUUCUUGCCUUUGUUGAAAGGCUGUUUUCCCCAUUGAAUUUUCUUUAAAUCAUUAUGGAAAACUCAUUAUCCAUAUACUUGUAUCGUAUGAGGAGAGCCUUGAAGAACUCUUCCUUUUCCACUGAUACCCAUGUUUAUCCUUAUGCCAAUACAACACUUUCUUUUUCUUUUUUUUUUUUUGGUACAGGGGAUCAAACUCGGGACCUUGCGCUUUCGAGGCAGGUUGCAGAACCACUGAGCUAAAUCCAUGGCUCAAUAUAGCACUUUCUUUUUGAUCAUAUCUUGAAAUCAGUGUGACUUAUUCAACUUUGUCCCUUUUCAAAUUUCUUUUCUUGCCAGGUAUGGUGGCACAUACCUGUAGUCCCAGUAUGCAGGAGGCUGAGGCAGGAAGAUUGCCAGUUGGAGGCCAGCUUGAUUUAUGUAGUGGGUUCAAGACUAGCCUGAACUACAUAGAGAGACCCUGUCUCAAAAAACAAAAAAAUCUUUUCUUAUAAACAGUGGUUUAUAGAAGAGUUUUUUGACAAACUUCUCUUCCAAAAAUAACAGUUGCCUCUUACAAAUAAUUCAUACACUUUAAAAUCUUGUGCUAUCUGUUCACAUAGAUUGAUUAUAUCUAGUCAGGUCUACUGAUCCGAUCUUUCCAGACUCAGCUCAGGAACUACCUCCUCCACAAAGCACUCUAACCAUUCCAACCGUAUGUGCUCUGUCUCCAUGUUUCCUAGGAUCUCUGGGACUUAAAGCCUUUGUAGCCCUCAGUGUUUUGCAUUGCAGUUGCUUCAGCUACUUGAUUUCUUCCCCACUGUUCUUUGAGCUCUCAGAAGGUAGGAUUUGAUUUGACUAAUUUCCAUGAUCCUAGCAUCACCCUCUACAGGCCUGGCAAAAAUGAGGACUAGUGAGUGUUUGUAGAAGCAAAGAAUGAAUAUAGGAAGGGAAGAAAGAAGGAGAAAAGAAAACUGGAAGGAUGAUCUGAUCUGAGGGACACCAGAACCUGAAAGUGGGGGAAAUUGUUAUCAAGCAAAAGAAAGCUGGUCAAAGUAGAUAUAAACCCAGGGUCCUCUUCCAGAGGUGGCAUUUGAUCAGACCUAAGAAAAAUGUUUGUAUGUGAAGAAACAGGUCAUGUUAAGAUGUGGGAGAAGGCGGGGAGGGGGGAAACACAUGCAAAGGCCCUGAGGCAGAAGUAUAGCAGACGUGGCUGAGGGACAAUAAGGAACCCAGUUUGGGCAGAAGAGGGAGAUGGGGGCGAGGAGUUAGGAACAGUUUGAGUAGCCUGGCAGACCAUGCUAAGGGCUCUGGCAUUUACUAAGCAUAAGAGAACCAGAGAUGGGCCCACCAAUUUAAGCUAUUACUAGUAUAUUUCAAGUCCCUUGGGGGAUGGCCCUAAGCUAAAGCCUAACACAUACUCAUUUGAUCUGUGGGUUGAUCUGGCAGGCUCUUCUGUUUCAAACAGAGUGGGACAGAGGCUGUACUUCUUGCCUUACUGUGUUCUCCAGCGAGUUGGUGUGUUCUCCUACCAUUGCUGCCAAGGGAGCUGUUGUGUCCUAAGCAAUCUUGGUUCAUGCUGCUAUAGAAGUGGCCAACCAGCUGCCCCUGAAUGGCAGCACCCACUAGGGUGCUGAAGAUCUCCAUGGCCAUGCCUGCAGGGGAUGAGGAGACACAUGCACUAGGCUCCAGGUGGCCAUUAGCUCUGACACAAGAACGGGACAGGUCAUGAAGACACCCAAGAGGUGGAGGCUUGAGGAUGCCCCAUCUCUCCCCAUCACUUGGCUUUCUUUUAAUUCUCACCCACUAUAGAACUCUAUGGCAUCCCUUUGUUUAUUCAUUUAUUUUUGAUGUUCACCAUUCUAUUUUCAGAGCCUUGAUUGCUCUUCUGCACAUAAGAACUGAGCAUUGACUUUGUUGAAUUAAUAAAAGAAUUAAUUUAAAAAUAGCUUGUGUUUGCUGAGACCUACUAUGUGCUCAGUGCUAUGCAUUUGUCAUCUCUGAUCCUCAUUAGAGCCCUGGGACUUAGAUCCUAUCUCUGGUUGCCCCAUUUUGUACAGGAUAAAAUUGAUAGCAGCUGCAGCGAACUAUCUGAGGCCACUGCUGGGAAUUGAGGAGCCAGGACUCAUGCCUGGGUCUGUCCAGCUGAACAAUGUACUGCAUCUUCACUAGCCAUAGGGUCCCUGGGCUCAGGUCAGGCUUUGUGUCCUGGGAAUCCUCUAAGGUGAGAAUGUAGAGGCAUGGGUGUCUCUCCAACUUAUAGCAGAGUCUCCAGUAACAGAGUUUCGGUUGCACUGAUUCCCUUCCAGUAACAUGGUCAGCAAGGUGUAUGGCACGUGGUAGCACUGAAGAGCAGAUUUGAGGAAGCUGGGGAUCCUUGCCUUGACUCUUGGUACCUCUGCCCCUGUUUAUAUUGAAACACAUCUGGAACAGGCAGUAUGUGACCAGGUCAAAGGCUAUACACAUUCAGUCCUAAGAUGAAUAAAUUCUGGGAACCUAAUGUAUAGCAUGAUGAUUAUAGUCAGCAGAACUGUACUGUAUACUUGAAAUAUGUGUAUAGAAUAGAUCUUAACGUUCUUAACAUACACACAAAUUGAUAAGUACUUGAGAUAUAGAUGUAUUAACUAACCUGAUUGUAGUAAUCACUUCACAAUGUGUCUACCAAAUUAUCACAUUGUAUACAUUAAAUUACACAAUUUUAUUUGCCAAUCAUCUCAGUGAAGCUAGGGAAAAAUAAUUCACAUACCAUGGUCACCCUUUAAAAAUGUGUAAUUUAGGGCUGGGGAUUUAGCUCAGUGGUGCCACACCUGCCUCACAAGGACAAGGUCCUGAGUUUGAUCCCUGGUACCGGCAAAAAAAAAAGUGUAAUUUAUUGGUUUUUAAUAUAUUUUCAGGGUUAUGCAACCAUCACCAUUACUAAUUUUAGUGUAUUUUAAUCACCUCAAAAAGAAAUCCCCAUUUUUCUCUCCCUCUAGCCCAUUGCAACCAUUAUUCAUUCUGUCUCUCUCUCUCUUUCUCUCUCUCUUUCUCUCUCAUUGGGGAUUCAACCCAAAACCUUUGACUAAGAUACAAGCCUAGCCUUUUUAUUUUUUAUUUUGAGACAGGGUCUCACUAAGUUGCCCUGACUGGGCUUGAACUUGUGAUCCUCCUGCUUCAGCCUCCUGGAAUGCUGGGAUUACAGGCAUGCACCACCAUGCCUGGCAACCACUAAUUUACUUUCUGUGUUCAUGGAUUUUCCCACUCUCAACAUUUAUACCAAUAGAAUUAUAUAGUAUGUGACCUUUUGUGUCUGGCUUCUUUCACUUAAGGUUUUCAAUAUCCAUCCAAGUUGGAGCAUGUAUCAAGACUUCAUUUUUUAUGGCUGAACAAUAUUUCAUUGCAUGGAUUUACUACAUUUUGUUUAUCCAUCUAUCAGUUGAUGUACAUGUAAAUUGUGUCCACCUUUUGGCCAUUGGAAAUCAUGUUACUAUGAAUAGUCAUGGAUAAGUUUUUGUAUGGAUACUUAUUUUCUAUUUUUGGGGGUAUAUAUCUAAAAAUGGUAUUACUAGAUAGUGGUAACUCUAUCUAAACUUUGAGGACCUGGCAGUUUUCCAAAAGUGCUGCUGGCAGCAAAGGAUGUGAGUUCUGACCACUCCCCAUUCCACCAGCACUUGUUAUUGUCUGUCUUUUUAAUUAUAGUAGGAGGCCCUGGAAGCAAAGAUGAGUUCUAUGCACCAUGACAGGUUUAUAGGGAACAAAAACAGCUUCUGUCCUUGGGGUCUGAGAGGGUGGGGGGAGGUUGAGGGCAGAGUCCAUCUGUGAAUGUAUAUAAACUUGCACAUGGGAUAGUGCAGCUGCCAGGAACUCACAGAUAAUGAGGGCUUCCUCUGUGCUAAGCACUCUUCCACAGCAUCGUAUUUUAUCUCUGCAUCAAGUUGCAUCCAAGAAGCAGAGGAGGUGGGAUGAAAAACAAGAUGAUUCAGCCCCAAAGUCCAUGCUUUCAGGCUUAAUGAUGUGCUGCCUUUUGGGCAAGUGCUCAACACUGACUGAAGGGAUGGACCUACCCCCAAGGUUUGUGUGCCACCCAGGCAGUUUAUACUGUGAGAAGGGUAAGGAUGGGGUUGUGCUCUUACUGUCCCAGAGAUGUAGGUAGCAAGGCUGUUGGAAGUUACACUGCAUUAGCACUUUGUGACCCUGGGAUUGUUUUCUAACCUCUCUGAGCUUCAGUUUCCUUAGCUGUAAAGGAGGAUGAGUCCUCAUCUCAUUGGGUGUCAUGAGGAGGAAAUGUGUGAAGGUUAGUGCACAAUAAGAAGCACCUGGCAACAUCAGCUGGGGUUUCUGUCUUCAUUUGACUUAUGGGACACAGAUUAUGCUAAGAGUUGGUGAUUAUGAGUGGGUCCUCAGCACCACUGGAGAUAGGAAUAGUCUUUGCACAGUGAGUGAAUCAAUCAGAGGCUAGGCAUCCUCCAAGUGUAUGGUGUUAGGAUACUCCAGGUCCACUGCACCCUAAGUGACAGCCCAGCCUGCAGUGCUUGGUGUGGUGUGGCCACAUCACUCCUGCAAACAAGCUAAGCUCUUUCUUGCCCAUUAUCUCAUGAGUUCAAGUCCUCCAGGGAGCCAGGAGAGGCCCCACUGUGCACUAGGCAACCUUAGUCUCUCCUACAAACCUCUCCCUUUCCUGGGUGUAGGAGAGACAUAAGACCCUGCUCCCUCACAGGGCCACUAAAGCAACAAAACAAAAUCGCAUGCAGAUUCUAUAGUGUGGAUCUUGGAUGACACCAAAGACCCAUGUGUGAAAGUCUUGUUCCUCAGGGUGGGGUGUUGGAAAGUGGUAGAAACAUUGAGUUCUACUACAUCACCUGCCUCUUAAGCACAAGGGCCUGAGUUCAAUCCCUGGUACCAAAAAAACCAAAAUAACCAAAAAACAAAAUAUUGGGCCAGAGAUUUAGCUCAGUGGUUUCGCCACCUGCUGCGCAAGCACAAGGACCCAAGUUUAAUCCCCAGUACCCUCAAAAAUAAAUAAAUAAAUAAAUUACGAACCCUCAAAACAUCACAACUAGAUUAGUAUGAUGUUCUCCAUCUUUGGAAAACUGCCUAAUUAAUAUAAUGCUGCAGUAGGAUUGUUUAGAUUUGAAUUCAUCUGUAAAG